AACGACUCUCGGCAACGGAUAUCUCGGCUCUCGCAUCGAUGAAGAACGUAGCGAAAUGCGAUACUUGGUGUGAAUUGCAGAAUCCCGUGAACCAUCGAGUUUUUGAACGCAAGUUGCGCCCGAAACCUUCUGGUCGAGGGCACGUCUGCCUGGGCG
rnacentral:rRNA from 1 species